CAUGGUCUUUCCAUUCUAACUGGGUACAGUCUAUUACUGAAAAUAACAUCCUGAACCAGCAGGGUAAGGACAUGCAGACGGCAAAAUGAAACAGCACAGCUGAUCGGGACGGCAUAGAUUUCCACAUAAAGGCCAGCAGUAAGGAGGACGCCAGGGGCCACAAGACACAGAACUGAGAUGGGAACAGUCAACAUAAAGGCCUAGAAAAGCUGAGAUAAGAUAAAACAUUUGUGUCCUUAUUAAUCAGGGAAGACUUCCUGGAACAAGUAGGGGGUUCUGGUAGGGAAAUGUAUGUGCGUUGGUUAGGAGGCUGUGGGAACAGAAAAGGUUCAUCAGAAAUAAGUGGGAUGAUUAUUCAAGAGGGCCCUCGCCUUGUGAUCUGCUUCUGGAGGUCUGUCUGCCCACUCUGCCAGAUCGCCUGGACCCUCGACCCACCGCACAGUCUUCAAAGGGGAGGCUGCCGGCGGGAGGCAGCAAGUUUGAUAAGGACACCGAGACAGGGGUCCUAAUAAAAGAGGACAAAGUUCUGCACCCAGACAGAGACAGUAGUGAGAGGAAGCAGUAUAUUCAGAAGACGUUGGAAAGGAAGAUUCUCUCAAGCAGCAGGUGGCUGUGUGUGUCUCUCACCUGCACCCUACACUGUUGCUUCAACAAGCCACUUUGCUCCUGGGUGCCUUAGAAUCUAAUAUCUGAGAACAGGGACUCAUUUACCUCGAAUAUCUUCAUACGCUGAAAUUUACCACAAACUUGGACGGAGAAUGUUGCAAGAGAAAGCAGCAGGUCACAUGCACAGUGUUUCGGGGAUGACACAAGAAGCUCUGCCAAGAUAUUUUUUUAUCAGCCUGAAGAAGAGGGGGCAUUUAUCAUGACAGAUUAAUUGCUCGCUUUGAGUUAGAUUUUGUUCCGUCUCUGUACCCAAUGUGGCUAUAGAAUAAUGAAGGUUUUUAAACAAACCAAAGCUUAUAGGUCCAAAUAAAUGCUCCAAAGUGGUCAUCUUAAGUUUAAAUGCUUAUUUCACUGUCUUUCCCAUUGCUCAAGGCAUUUCAGGAACAUCUCUUUUGAAAUUGCUGUCUUAGCUUACAGCGCAUUCUUUUGAAUAUAUGAUUUGCCUUUAAUGGUGACAAAUCUUCAUCCAUUAAAGUGUAAUAUUUUUGGUUUUGUUUCAAGUCAAAGAUCAUUUUGAGCUAAAUCCAUGGCGAGUGAUUAAACUGAAUAAAAAUAAUUGAAAACACCGAUUAAAUGCCAGGUACUAAACUAAGUGUUUUUUAUAAAUCAUCUCACCUAAUGUAAUUAUUAUCACAAAUCUAUUAAUGUUCCCAUUUAAUAUUUCUUUAAUAAUUAUAAAAUUAGUAUAUGUCAUUGAAGGAAGUUUGGAAAAUCUAGAAGAGAGAUACCAAACCUGCUUUUACCACCCAGAUGGAAUCACUGCUGAUAUUACCAUGCUUAUCUGUCUAGUCUUUUAUCUAUGAGUAAAUGUAUAAAUAUAGUUUUUCCCCCAAAUUAGUCACCAUGUGCAUAACUUUAUAAUUUUUCACUUGAUGUUAUAUUCUGAACAGUUUUUUAUGUCACUAAAUUUCUUCGACAAAAUCUUUACUCACUAUUUGGUAUUCCUAUAUGUAGAUAUAUCAUAAUCUAGCCAAACAAUUCCAAUAUUUCAAUACUGCAAAGGAACAUUCUUCAUAGAUAAAUCUUUGUGGAUUUUUAUGAUCGUUUCCUUCAGAUAAUUUCCUAGAAGUAGAAUUGCUGGAUCCAGGACAUGCAUAUUUCUAGAGGCUUUUGUAAUUUUCCCAUUUUUUAGAUGAGUAAAUGAAGCACUUUCCAAGAUCAUAAACCCAGAAUAUAACAGAGGUUGGAUUUAACCCAGGUCUGUGAUUCUCUGAAGCCUGUGAGGUUUUUUUUUUUUUCUUUUCCAACUAUGACAGACUAAUUUUGAUGGGAAAAUGAGUAAUACCAUUAAAAUAAAGAAGAAUUUUCACAUGUGCAA